CCCAGCGUGGCCUAGUGGUUUGAUUGUUGGACUACACCUCUGGAGACCAGGGUUCGAAUCCCAGCUCAGCCA